rnacentral:rRNA from 1 species
GACGAACGCUGGCGGCGUGCUUAACACAUGCAAGUCGAACGGAAAGGCCCUGCUUUUGUGGGGUGCUCGAGUGGCGAACGGGUGAGUAACACGUGAGUAACCUGCCCUUGACUUUGGGAUAACUUCAGGAAACUGGGGCUAAUACCGGAUAGGAGCUCCUGCUGCAUGGUGGGGGUUGGAAAGUUUCGGCGGUUGGGGAUGGACUCGCGGCUUAUCAGCUUGUUGGUGGGGUAGUGGCUUACCAAGGCUUUGACGGGUAGCCGGCCUGAGAGGGUGACCGGCCACAUUGGGACUGAGAUACGGCCCAGACUCCUACGGGAGGCAGCAGUGGGGAAUAUGGCACAAUGGGCGGAAGCCGGAUGCAGCAACGCCGCGGGCGGGAUGACGGCCUUCGGGUUGUAAACCGCUUUCGCCUGUGACGAAGCGUGAGUGACGGUAAUGGGUAAAGAAGCACCGGCUAACUACGUG